rnacentral:rRNA from 1 species
GUGGGGAAUAUUGGACAAUGGGGGAAACCCUGAUCCAGCGACGCCGCGUGAGUGAAGAAGUAUUUCGGUAUGUAAAGCUCUAUCAGCAGGGAAGAAAAUGACGGUACCUGACUAAGAAGCCCCGGCUAACUACGUGCCAGCAGCCGCGGUAAUACGUAGGGGGCAAGCGUUAUCCGGAUUUACUGGGUGUAAAGGGAGCGUAGACGGCACUGCAAGUCUGGAGUGAAAGCCCGGGGCUCAACCCCGGGACUGCUUUGGAAACUGUGGUGCUGGAGUGCAGGAGAGGUAAGUGGAAUUCCUAGUGUAGCGGUGAAAUGCGUAGAUAUUAGGAGGAACACCAGUGGCGAAGGCGGCUUACUGGACUGUAACUGACGUUGAGGCUCGAAAGCGUGGGGAGCAAACAGGAUUAGAUACCCGGGUAGUCC